rfam:Lachancea fermentati genome assembly, chromosome: D
GGGCGUGUGGCGCAGUUGGUAGCGCGCUCCUUUCGCAUAGGAGAGGUCUUUGGUUCGAUUCCGAACUCGUCCA